rnacentral:rRNA from 1 species
CCUACGGGUGGCUGCAGUGGGGGAUAUUGGACAAUGGGGGAAACCCUGAUCCAGCGACGCCGCGUGAGUGAAGAAGUAUUUCGGGAUGUAAAGCUCUGUCAGCAGGGAAGAAAGAAAUGACGGUACCUGACCAAGAAGCCCCGGCUAACUACGUUCCAGCAGCCCCGGGGAUACGUAGGGGGCAAGCGUUAUCCGGAAUUACUGGGGGUAAAGGGAGGGUAGACGGUGAUGCAAGUCUGGAGUGAAAGGCGGGGGCCCAACCCCCGGACUGCUCUGGAAACUGUGUAACUUGAGUGCAGGAGAGGUAAGCGGAAUGCCUAGUGUAGCGGUGAAAUGCGUAGAUAUUAGGAGGAACACCAGUGGCGAAGGCGGCUUACUGGACUGUAACUGACGUUGAGGCUCGAAAGCGUGGGGAGCAAACAGGAUUAGAUACCCCAGUAGUC